ensembl:lncRNA
CCCUCCGGUCGGGGACGGAAUGUCUCACCGCCCCGCUGGUUGAUGGUCAGCUGAUCGGGCGAGGGUCACAGGGCCAGGCAGAGAUAUGUGUGACACGCUGGGGUGAUAUUAGGCACGCAUCCUUAUCAAUAGGGAGACAACUUAUAUUAUAUGAUAAUGUUUUAAUCAGAAAGCAAAAGUAGAUAGCACUACGACGCAACACGACUACGCUAAAAAGAGAACAUGAUUUAAUAAAAUGUAUUUUAUUCUUGUUUGUAUAGGCCUACUGCAGUGUUUCUGUCGCAUAAAAUGUUCCUCAAUAUUGCAUUUCUAUCGUUUACUAAUUUAUAAAUGUAACUGAUAAAUAAAUGUAUAGAUCCAUCCACGAUAUACCGUGUUUUGUCUGUGUUUUGGACAUUAAUAUGAAUUAUAGUUCAAAAUGGUUUGCAAUAAAGGGUGUUGGGUGUCUUACUCAUAUUGACAGACCAAAAUGAGGAUCUGAUAUCGUUGUAAAAUGAAUAAGCCUGACCUGCUCCUUGCCCUCAAAUUCAAAAAGGUGUUAUAGGGGACAAAUGUAACCAGUGACUUCCUCAUCUAACCCUAACCUUGGAGAACUGUGUUGGGAUCUGCUUCUGCCCAGGCCUCCGGCAGCAGGCAACGCCGAUUCCUGCGCCACGAGAGCAGGUGGUGGAGUUCUCGGAGGAGUUCCUGGCGUUCUCCGGCGGCCAAGCUGGCAGAGGUCGCGGGGUGGUCGAGCUGAGCGUCAGCCACGAGGAGGUGGUGUUGGAGGCUGUGGCCGACAUGCCUGAAGAACGCACUGCCCUUGUCAUCAGGCUGUUGUCCAAGCUCUAGAAAACCGACAAAGAUCCGGACCUCGGUGACCUCAUAGCUGGCUACGGGCGUGCUUCUAAUGAUCACCAGAUGUCACCAAAUUAGCAACUGCCUACGCUCACAAACUACGCCGGCUAUUCCACACAGAAGUAAAUCAACCCAAGUGCAGAAGACAGACAGCAAGUGGCCAACAAACCAGACUGAAGAGAAGAGGAAGGCGGAGAAGGAAGAUGAGGAGGAAGAAGAGCGAUGAGGAAGAGGAGGAUUCAGCAUAUGGCCACAUUUGAAGAUCACAGAAGGCCAACGUCGGUCAACUUGGCGAAUUUGGGAUCAUCAAUUUGUCUUGCCAGAAAUAAAAAAUACAAAAAAUCGUUCUUGCAGCAUCAGACAAGGGCAAGAAAAUGUUACUUGUUGCUGUAUUUUACAGAUUCUUCCGCUUUUUCUUGGAGGAAAAACAUAAAUGUUUUGUAAUUACAUGUAGUUAUAUUUUCAUUGCUAUCUUCCAUUGAUGUUAUUGCCCUUUACACUGUUAUUCAUACAAAUUUCCUUUAACAAUAUGAUCAACAGCUAGUCUUUUCGUUUAUGGGUCUCUUUUUUCCUCUUUUUUCCACCUAUUUUAAGCCUUUUGUAAAGCUCCGCCGAUUUGUUCCCCUUUUGAAAUAUCUUGAGCAACAUUUUCCCUGUUUUGAAUUUUGGAGAGGGCCUUAUUGUUGCCAGUGCAACUAUUCACGAGUCACCCACGGCUACAG